rnacentral:lncRNA from 1 species
UCGGGAGAGUUUACCACCGUCCAGUAUAUAUUUUUUUAUAAAAUCGAGAAGUCUAGUUGCAGUGUUAUCGUUAUUUCAUAAUGUGCAGAACGUUACGAAACGUUAUAAUAUAAUAAUAGAGUAGCUCUACUGUGAGUUUCCUCUUCACCGCCCUGUCACUGUUAAUUCUUCUCUCAAAUUUACUUAGUAUGGAUUAGACUGUUCAAAAUGGUGAUGGUAAAGGAUUGUCCAGAGUAUAAUAUUCUUUUCGAUGAUGAUUUUAAUAGUGAAUACUGUUGAACAUAAAAACGAUAAUAAUCUAUUCCUGUUUAUGUCUGUAUUCAGAAUAAUUGUUCUGAUGGGAAAUCAAUUACUACUUGCUCUUCAAAUAAUAAAAAUACUGUUAAACGUGCAAAUUGCAGUCUACCUACAUACUAAUGAAGAAAUUUCUGUGAUAAAUACAGUUCCUCAAUAAAUUCUAAUUUUCAAACAUUAUUUCAAUUACCUUCGCCUUCGUUCCAGUUCUGCGACAUUAAUAAUUCUUCAUGGUGCACCUCGAUGGUCUCCUCACAAAACACUCGGCCGACUAACAAUUUAAACACGAUCACCGUCUAUUGGUCCUGGAGGUUGAAGAGCGAUUUAAAUAAUACAAAUAAGAUAGUUCAAUAUAGAAAAUUGUGUAAAUGUGUACGUAAUAAGUGAUCAUUAGUGUGAGUGACUGUUUACAAAAUAAAUAGCUGAACGCUUCCUCAUUUUCA